UGGGCUUGACAUGUCCGGAAUCCUGCAGAGAUGCGGGAGUGCCCUUCGGGGAAAUCGGAACAC
rnacentral:rRNA from 1 species